rnacentral:rRNA from 1 species
GACGAACGCUGGCGGCGUGCUUAACACAUGCAAGUCGAACGGAAAGGCCCUGCUUUUGUGGGGUGCUCGAGUGGCGAACGGGUGAGUAACACGUGAGUAACCUGCCCUUGACUUUGGGAUAACUUCAGGAAACUGGGGCUAAUACCGGAUAGGAGCUCCUGCUGCAUGGUGGGGGUUGGAAAGUUUCGGCGGUUGGGGAUGGACUCGCGGCUUAUCAGCUUGUUGGUGGGGUAGUGGCUUACCAAGGCUUUGACGGGUAGCCGGCCUGAGAGGGUGACCGGCCACAUUGGGACUGAGAUACGGCCCAGACUCCUACGGGAGGCAGUAGUGGGGAAUAUUGCACAAUGGGCGGAAGCCUGAUGCAGCAACGCCGCGUGCGGGAUGACGGCCUUCGGGUUGUAAACCGCUUUCGCCUGUGACGAAGCGUGAGUGGCGGUAAUGGGUAAAGAAGCACCGGCUAACUACGUG